GCCUUUUGCAAGGUGGUGAUAAAAAAAAACAAACAUCAAAAGAAAUCUCAUUUUCAAGAUAUCUUUGUAAAGAAAGCCACCAAACAUGGAACCAUCUCCCACCCUGCACUGCCAGUGGCUCUUGCAUAUGACAUCCUCGGAUGCCCAGAAGAUUAGACAGUCUGAUCCAGCUGGCCCAUCUAACAGGAAGCACAGACAUUCACCAGCUACAAACUUAAGCUGAUGCUCUCCAAAAAUGAAGAGGACAAAUUGAAAGUUAUAGUCUGAGAAAAUUAAUAGGGACAUCAUGUGGCAAUGCAUUAUGAGCAACAUAAAAGUUCAGUUUCAGUCACCAGCCUGCACCACAGGACUGUUAUUGACCACUCCAUCUUGCUGCAGCACUUGCACCAUGGCACUUUCCAACAUCCAGGAGAACUCAAUACUUCUGCUAUAAAGAAUGUGGACAUAAAGACCAGCCUGGGUAUUUGUGUCCCUGAAUUACUUCCACCUCAAGAAAAAAAAAAGGUGUGUACUAUUUGACAAGGUCCUGAAGCAUAAUUUAGAAGCAUCAGCAGCAGAAAAAAAAACCCAUCCUGAAGUGGGGGAAAGAACUUUAUACAUUUGAAUCAUGGAGCUAUAUAGAAGCCAAUAUUGAUAUGAUGAAGUCGAUGUGUACGAAAUCAACAUUCUUCAAGAAGUCAGCUCCAUCUUCCCAAAGUCAUCACUAUUCUCUUAGUAGACCAUAUAUUUUUUAUUUUAGGUAAUUGUUCAGCAUGUGUAUGAACUCUCCCAGUCCUAAAUUCUCUUAAGCUGUGUAUUUCUUCUGGAGUGAAAAUUUGAGACAACGUAGCCCGUGAGUUCUUGCAACAUUCCUCACUUUUAGAGGACUGGUGUGGUGGCAUGCAGGAAUCUAAUGUUCCAUGCAAUUUAUGAUUUUCCACUUUAUUGAGGAAAUAAUUCUGUUUGCUUGCAGGUUUAUUAACUUGCAGUCUGGAAUGCACAGCACUGCAAGUCACAAAUCAUUUGUCUAUCAGCUGUCCCAUCUUAAAUGAAGAAAUAUCGUAUACCGUUAACACCCUGAUCUCAAAGAGUUUGUAAAACAAAGAACAGACUCCUGGGUUAAAAUGUGGAGCAUUUGUUAUUAAAAUGGAUUUUCUUCAACAAGAGAA